rnacentral:sRNA from 1 species
CUGCAGCAGGUUCGGGUCGAACGUAGUGAGACAACGGAGCCGCUUGCGGCGACGGCCCGCAGGGCGAGGCGAAGCCGAGUCAUCCUGCACGACCCACCA